UACGUAGGGUGCAAGCGUUGUCCGGAAUUAUUGGGCGUAAAGGGCUCGUAGGCGGUUUGUCGCGUCGGGAGUGAAAUCCACUGGCUUAACUGGUGGCUUGCUUUCGAUACGGGCAGACUGGAGGCAUGCAGGGGAGGACGGAAUUCCUGGUGUAGCGGUGAAAUGCGCAGAUAUCAGGAGGAACACCGGUGGCGAAGGCGGUUCUCUGGGCAUGUCCUGACGCUGAGGAGCGAAAGUGUGGGGAGCGAACAGG
rnacentral:rRNA from 1 species